GGUUAGGGUGUGCACGCACGGGCGCCUGGAAAGCCAGGGGCCCGGCGGCGAGGCGGCGACGACGGGUUUGUGGGGUCACGCGCGGGGCAAGGCAUCGGCUCCUGCACACAUGGCAACAAGGGACAAGGGGAACCCUAUGGGCCGCGCUACGGUGGGCUCAUCGGCAGCCAAUGGCAACGCCGGCAGCACGGAGAGUCGCAAACGCGUAUCGGAAGAUCUAGCCGAUACAAAAAACGACAAAUCGGCCCAGACAGCCAAUUGCACGUGCAUAACAGUAUAAAAGCUGCGAAUGUGUAACUUAAAUAAGGUUACUCGAUAACACUUGAAACAGAUCUAAAUUGGCUUUAUAAUAUUUUGAUAAUAUCACAAAAUUCCACAGCCGAUCACACGUGUUUCAAUGUAGAGAAAUCUGAUAAAAGCUGAAAUGAUAGGAAAAAUCUAUAACUCUAGCAAAUAUCGAUGAAUCGUGAAUUAAUCUAGACGAGACGACAGCGAUACGCCUGGAAGUCAAAGCCUAGACAGAAUUCGAUAACUUUGAACAAAUCUAAAUGAAGCAAUAGCGAUACGCCGGUUGACUAAAGCUUAGAUUUACUCGAUAAACGAAAACUUACCAGUAGAUCAAGUCGCUCGAAUGUGAGGCGUCUUCGAUCAACUCGAAAGAACUCGCAGAAAAAAGAAAAUAGCGAAGUCGCCAACAAGAAAGUAAAUUGCGAUGGAAUUGUAAAGGUUUGUUGUAUUGGAUGUGUAUCAAUCUUCUCAGGUCCCGUACAACUGCUAUUUAUACCCUAAAACUAACAAGUCCUAGCCGAUUACGGCAAACAUAUAUUUUGACAAAAAGAAAAAGAUUUCCUAAAUAAAACAAACCGACUCAAGACCAAACCAUCAAAAUCCGAUCGAAUAUGGAAUAUUCCUUUGGCCCAUCGGCAAAGGCAUCAUUGGCCGAUCUCCAUACUGUACACGCUAGUACCUCCCAAAUUGAAGUAUCUUUUCGGCCCAUCGGCAACGGCUUUAUCAGCUGGUUCCCACAUCAUGCAUGUUGGCUCCUUCCAAAUCGGCAAUCUUCCUCCACUUCCUUGUUUAUCUUGACAUGUGUCAAAAAAUGGCGUCAACAGGGAUAAGCAGUACAUCGUCCUCAAGACUACUUCUGAUCAGGCAUCAAGGCCGCGCGGCUCCUGCAAGGGCACCUACCAUGAGUCCACGAUCCUCUCCGCCAGCUGCACAACAAUAUUCUCCUUCACCAUCAUCUCCUGGGCAUCCAUCAGGUCCUCCUUUACCAACGUCUCCUAAUUCACCUCCUCCGCAACCGGCAAAGAAGCAAAAGUUACCACCGAAGAAGCAUGCACCAGUUAAUGACUCACCGAAGAAAAAGAAGCAGCCUUCGAAGAAAGCUAAGGAGGCUCCAAAGAAAUUGUGGGACAAAUCUUACGAAGAAUGCAAGAAGUAGAGUAUGGCCGAGGUUGAAGAGCACCCGAAAGAGCCAGAGAAGAGGCAACCAAUAGAUCCAAGGCAGUCAGCCUUUUUUUUAUUGGAAUGACCGAUGCAAAUAAGAAGAGAUUCAUUCCAUCUGUAUCAAACUAUGACCAUUCGGUUACCAAGUCAUUCGAGAAGAGAAAAUCGAGGUUGUCGUCUAAUGUUCCACAGCUCGGAGCCCAGCCGAAGCAAUCAAUACCACCGCUCGUAGUGCAAAAUAUGGAAUAGUAAGAUUUAAUUAGUUUUAUGAAAACAUCGAAGCUCACGGCGGCUGAGGUUGCAGGAUCAAACGAAAUUCUGUUAGCUCCAGUGGUUCAAUGGAAAUAUGAUGAGGGGAGGAGCCUUGUCCCCCCAGAGGGCGCAAAGUUUACAGAUGAAGAUUUCUUUCGUGGAGAGGGCAUUAUAUGGUUGACUUGGGAAGAAGUGUACCAACUAUACCAUCAAGACGCCCUUGACAUCUCUAUCAUCGGCUUGUGGGUUCUAAUGGAGAUUCAGACUUGCCAGAAAAAUGGGUACUACCACAUCGGCUUCAUCGACCCAACGAUUGUAAAUUGCAAGAAUCUACGUUCAACCCCUGAAGAAACAUUUCAUAACAUAUACAAGUACUUCUCUGUUCAGAACUACAAGCAGUACGUAUUGUUUCCUUACAACUUUGCAUGAGUGUUUUCUGCUGUGUAACUCUUUUAAUCCUGUAUAAUUGAAUUUUUUUUAACCCUAACAAGAACGGGCUUCGUAUAAUCUUGCAGUGAUCACUGGAUACUAGUUGCCAUAAUUCCUCAUAUGAGCUUAGCGGUAGUUAUGGACUCAAUGAGCAAAUAUCCAGAACUAUACAAAGACAUGGCUGACAUGUUGAAAAGGGCUUAGAAGAAAUUUGUUAAAAAUCAUAGAGGUAAUUUCAGCCACGAACUAAAAUUGAAGACAGACUUUUCGUGUAUGAGGCAGGCAUAGAGCAAUAAUUUAUAUGGAUACUAUGUGUGUGAGAACAUCCAUGGUCUAGUAGGUCCUCUGAAGACAUUUACUACUUGGGAGAAGGAAGCAAGUCGAUGCGAUGCGAGAUCAGCUCAUACCAGAGGAAAUGAUUUUUGCGGUUCAAGAAGCCUUGUGCGGAUUUAUUGUUGAGCAGGUCAUAAACAAAAAGGGCGAACUCUACUAUGAUGGAAGGUCGAACAUAGAUAACAAGAGUAAAUAUGAUGAUAUUGCGUAAAACUUUUGUUGCAGUUUGUAUGUAAUUAAGUAUAUGUAUAUAUCUAUUUAUAUCUAUGGCCCUGUUUGGAGAAAUAGCCAAAAAUUAUUUUGAGGGCUAAAGUUUAGCUCAAAAAAAUAGCCCUUGAGAUGUUUGGAUCCAAGGGCUAUUUGGCUCAUAAAACACUUUUUCAAUCA